rnacentral:rRNA from 1 species
GCCCUGGCAGUCAGAGGCGAUGAAGGACGUGCUAAUCUGCGAUAAGCGUCGGUAAGGUGAUAUGAACCGUUAUAACCGGCGAUUUCCGAAUGGGGAAACCCAGUGUGAUUCGUCACACUAUCAUUAACUGAAUCCAUAGGUUAAUGAGGCGAACCGGGGGAACUGAAACAUCUAAGUACCCCGAGGAAAAGAAAUCAACCGAGAUUCCCCCAGUAGCGGCGAGCGAACGGGGAGGAGCCCAGAGCCUGAAUCAGUGUGUGUGUUAGUGGAAGCGUCUGGAAAGGCGCGCGAUACAGGGUGACAGCCCCGUACACAAAAAUGCACAUGCUGUGAGCUCGAUGAGUAGGGCGGGACACGUGGUAUCCUGUCUGAAUAUGGGGGGACCAUCCUCCAAGGCUAAAUACUCCUGACUGACCGAUAGUGAACCAGUACCGUGAGGGAAAGGCGAAAAGAACCCCGGCGAGGGGAGUGAAAAAGAACCUGAAACCGUGUACGUACAAGCAGUGGGAGCACAGAGCAAUCUGUGUGACUGCGUACCUUUUGUAUAAUGGGUCAGCGACUUAUAUUCUGUAGCAAGGUUAACCGAAUAGGGGAGCCGAAGGGAAACCGAGUCUUAACUGGGCGUUAAGUUGCAGGGUAUAGACCCGAAACCCGGUGAUCUAGCCAUGGGCAGGUUGAAGGUUGGGUAACACUAACUGGAGGACCGAACCGACUAAUGUUGAAAAAUUAGCGGAUGACUUGUGGCUGGGGGUGAAAGGCCAAUCAAACCGGGAGAUAGCUGGUUCUCCCCGAAAGCUAUUUAGGUAGCGCCUCGUGAAUUCAUCUCCGGGGGUAGAGCACUGUUUCGGCAAGGGGGUCAUCCCGACUUACCAACCCGAUGCAAACUGCGAAUACCGGAGAAUGUUAUCACGGGAGACACACGGCGGGUGCUAACGUCCGUCGUGAAGAGGGAAACAACCCAGACCGCCAGCUAAGGUCCCAAAGUCAUGGUUAAGUGGGAAACGAUGUGGGAAGGCCCAGACAGCCAGGAUGUUGGCUUAGAAGCAGCCAUCAUUUAAAGAAAGCGUAAUAGCUCACUGGUCGAGUCGGCCUGCGCGGAAGAUGUAACGGGGCUAAACCAUGCACCGAAGCUGCGGCAGCGACACUAUGUGUUGUUGGGUAGGGGAGCGUUCUGUAAGCCUGUGAAGGUGUGCUGUGAGGCAUGCUGGAGGUAUCAGAAGUGCGAAUGCUGACAUAAGUAACGAUAAAGCGGGUGAAAAGCCCGCUCGCCGGAAGACCAAGGGUUCCUGUCCAACGUUAAUCGGGGCAGGGUGAGUCGACCCCUAAGGCGAGGCCGAAAGGCGUAGUCGAUGGGAAACAGGUUAAUAUUCCUGUACUUGGUGUUACUGCGAAGGGGGGACGGAGAAGGCUAUGUUGGCCGGGCGACGGUUGUCCCGGUUUAAGCGUGUAGGCUGGUUUUCCAGGCAAAUCCGGAAAAUCAAGGCUGAGGCGUGAUGACGAGGCACUACGGUGCUGAAGCAACAAAUGCCCUGCUUCCAGGAAAAGCCUCUAAGCAUCAGGUAACAUCAAAUCGUACCCCAAACCGACACAGGUGGUCAGGUAGAGAAUACCAAGGCGCUUGAGAGAACUCGGGUGAAGGAACUAGGCAAAAUGGUGCCGUAACUUCGGGAGAAGGCACGCUGAUAUGUAGGUGAAGCGACUUGCUCGUGGAGCUGAAAUCAGUCGAAGAUACCAGCUGGCUGCAACUGUUUAUUAAAAACACAGCACUGUGCAAACACGAAAGUGGACGUAUACGGUGUGACGCCUGCCCGGUGCCGGAAGGUUAAUUGAUGGGGUCAGCGCAAGCGAAGCUCUUGAUCGAAGCCCCGGUAAACGGCGGCCGUAACUAUAACGGUCCUAAGGUAGCGAAAUUCCUUGUCGGGUAAGUUCCGACCUGCACGAAUGGCGUAAUGAUGGCCAGGCUGUCUCCACCCGAGACUCAGUGAAAUUGAACUCGCUGUGAAGAUGCAGUGUACCCGCGGCAAGACGGAAAGACCCCGUGAACCUUUACUAUAGCUUGACACUGAACAUUGAGCCUUGAUGUGUAGGAUAGGUGGGAGGCUUUGAAGUGUGGACGCCAGUCUGCAUGGAGCCGACCUUGAAAUACCACCCUUUAAUGUUUGAUGUUCUAACGUUGACCCGUAAUCCGGGUUGCGGACAGUGUCUGGUGGGUAGUUUGACUGGGGCGGUCUCCUCCUAAAGAGUAACGGAGGAGCACGAAGGUUGGCUAAUCCUGGUCGGACAUCAGGAGGUUAGUGCAAUGGCAUAAGCCAGCUUGACUGCGAGCGUGACGGCGCGAGCAGGUGCGAAAGCAGGUCAUAGUGAUCCGGUGGUUCUGAAUGGAAGGGCCAUCGCUCAACGGAUAAAAGGUACUCCGGGGAUAACAGGCUGAUACCGCCCAAGAGUUCAUAUCGACGGCGGUGUUUGGCACCUCGAUGUCGGCUCAUCACAUCCUGGGGCUGAAGUAGGUCCCAAGGGUAUGGCUGUUCGCCAUUUAAAGUGGUACGCGAGCUGGGUUUAGAACGUCGUGAGACAGUUCGGUCCCUAUCUGCCGUGGGCGCUGGAGAACUGAGGGGGGCUGCUCCUAGUACGAGAGGACCGGAGUGGACGCAUCACUGGUGUUCGGGUUGUCAUGCCAAUGGCACUGCCCGGUAGCUAAAUGCGGAAGAGAUAAGUGCUGAAAGCAUCUAAGCACGAAACUUGCCCCGAGAUGAGUUCUCCCUGACUCCUUGAGAGUCCUGAAGGAACGUUGAAGACGACGACGUUGAUAGGCCGGGUGUGUAAGCG